AGGAUUAGAUACCCUGGUAGUCCACGCCGUAAACGAUGUCGACUUGGAGGUUGUUCCCUUGAGGAGUGGCUUCCGGAGCUAACGCGUUAAGUCGACCGCCUGGGGAGUACGGCCGCAAGGUUAAAACUCAAAUGAAUUGACGGGGGCCCGCACAAGCGGUGGAGCAUGUGGUUUAAUUCGAUGCAACGCGAAGAACCUUACCUACUCUUGACAUCCACGGAAUUUGGCAGAGAUGCCUUAGUGCCUUCGGGAACCGUGAGACAGGUGCUGCAUGGCUGUCGUCAGCUCGUGUUGUGAAAUGUUGGGUUAAGUCCCGCAACGAGCGCAACCCUUAUCCUUUGUUGCCAGCGAUUCGGUCGGGAACUCAAAGGAGACUGCCGGUGAUAAACCGGAGGAAGGUGGGGAUGACGUCAAGUCAUCAUGGCCCUUACGAGUAGGGCUACACACGUGCUACAAUGGCGCAUACAAAGAGAAGCGACCUCGCGAGAGCAAGCGGACCUCAUAAAGUGCGUCGUAGUCCGGAUCGGAGUUUGCAACUCGACUCCGUGAAGUCGGAAUCGCUAGUAAUCGUGGAUCAGAAUGCCACGGUGAAUACGUUCCCGGGCCUUGUACACACCGCCCGUCACACCAUGGGAGUGGGUUGCAAAAGAAGUAGGUAG
rnacentral:rRNA from 1 species